UACAGAGACUGCAAGCGUUAUUCGGAUUCACUGGGCGUAAAGGGUGCGCAGGCGCCAUGUGUGUGAGGCGUGAAAGCCCGGGGCUUAACCCCGGAAUUGCACCUCAAACUACAUGGCUAGAGCAUUGGAGAGGGUAGCAGAAUUCAUGGUGUAGCAGUGAAAUGCGUAGAUAUCAUGAGGAAUACCAGAGGCGAAGGCGGCUACCUGGACAAUUGCUGACGCUCAGGCACGAAAGCGUGGGGAGCAAAAGGG
rnacentral:rRNA from 1 species